rnacentral:lncRNA from 1 species
AGCUCUUCGGUGCAGUCACUUAUUAAGUAAGUAAGUAAGUGCUUUAUUGUCAUUGUACAAGCGUACAACGAAAUAGUGUUCAGGUGUUAGUCCUGAGCUGCUGCGGCUGAGCCGCGCUGCCACUGUGUCAACCUGACCCGCAUGACCUUGGAGGUCGGGGAAACUGUAGCACUCGGAAGAAAUCUGGCUGGCUGCCCUCUGUCUCUGUGUGAGAAAUUCCAAAGGGGUCACAUGCUUUUUCCUCCCUCUUACAGGGGAACAUGCCACACCGGAUUUUAGCCAUAGACUAAUUUGCUGUCUGUUAUGCUGCACUCACACUCACCAACACACCUAUAUGAUACGGAGACGCUGCAGUAUGUGCAGGUCAGAGCUGAGACCUUUGGCUCUGUGGUCGAAUGUUCUCUGAGUCAAUAUCGCUCAAAGUUCACUGCGUCUAGUCUCCUGUCUUGGCCAGAACUUAUAACUUUCUUCUUUUAUUAAACAAAAGCUGCACAUGCACAAACACAUACAUUUUUUAAUAUAUAAAUCAUACACAUUGUUAUGUAAUCUCCCAUGUACGUACACUGAAUAAUGCUUUUUAUUUUGCUUGUUGUCACCUCUCUGUUUAGUAUAGUGAUUGUCGCUACAAAUUCAAUCAGAGAAGUUAACUGUUCUUCAUACCACUCUGUGAGCGAGGAUGAGCUCUCUUUAAAGGAGGCCAGUGCUUCCAUUGGCCCAAUUGUGGUUGCCAUUGUUGCAACCGACAACCUUGUGCAGUACGAAUCUGGUAAGUGAUCAGGUUUGUCAAAAAAGCGAGUAAUAAAGGGUUUUCUUUCUCAUGCCAUACGCCAAAUUCACUUCAUUUUCAAAAGUUGACUUGAGCACAAACGCGCAUAAUGGAGAUACACGUCUGUCUGAACACAGCAUUUGUGUUGAAUGUUUUUACGUGUUGUUCCCUCUCAGGCUCGUUCAGCAGUCCCAAUUGUACAGAGCGCCUCAACCACGCUGUGCUGCUCGUAGGUUAUGGCACAGAUGAAACUUCCGGGCUGGACUACUGGCUGAUCAAAAACAGUUGGGGGAGAAGAUUGGGGCGAAAAGGGCUACCUCAGAUUGGCACAAGAAUCAAAUGUGUGGCAUCUCGCAGUAAGCAGUCUACCCUCAGUAAACCACUUUUUUCAAUCAAAAUCAUUUCUUUGUUAAAAGGAUGUGAUCUAGAUUUAACUAAUUGCAAACCAAGUCUUGUCAAAAGUUCUUGAAUGUCUUGUUUGUAAUUAAUAAAAGAGUCUCUGUACUUUUUGUGUGAUCAUUUUUAAAGCUACCUUAAACACACCCAGCAUCAUUUGUUCAGUCUCAG